rnacentral:rRNA from 1 species
UGGGGAAUAUUGGACAAUGGGGGAAACCCUGAUCCAGCAAUGCCGCGUGUGUGAAGAAGGCCUUCGGGUUGUAAAGCACUUUCAAUAGGGAAGAAAAGUUUAGGGAUAAUACCCCUAGACCUUGACGUUACCUAUAGAAGAAGCACUGGCUAACUCUGUGCCAGCAGCCGCGGUAAUACAGAGAGUGCAAGCGUUAAUCGGAAUUACUGGGCGUAAAGCGCACGUAGGUGGAUAUUUAAGUCGGGUGUGAAAGCCCCAGGCUCAACCUGGGAACUGCGUCCGAUACUGGGUAUCUAGAGUAUGGUAGAGGGAAGUGGAAUUUCAGGUGUAGCGGUGAAAUGCGUAGAUAUCUGAAAGAACACCAGUGGCGAAGGCGGCUUCCUGGACCAAUACUGACACUGAGGUGCGAAAGCGUGGGGAGCAAACA